UGUGAAAUGGCAGAAUAAUGCGUAAAUCUUAAGAGUUUAUUAUGGCAAUAUGCCUUUCACCA
rnacentral:tRNA from 1 species